GACAGAGGGUGCAAACGUUGUUCGGAAUUACUGGGCGUAAAGCGCGUGUAGGCGGCUCGACAAGUCGGGUGUGAAAGCCCUGGGCUUAACCUAGGAAGUGCACUCGAAACUGCCAAGCUUGAGUUCUGGAGAGGAAGGCGGAAUUCUCGGUGUAGAGGUGAAAUUCGUAGAUAUCGAGAGGAACACCGGUGGCGAAGGCGGCCUUCUGGACAGCAACUGACGCUGAGACGCGAAAGCGUGGGGAGCAAACAGG
rnacentral:rRNA from 1 species